CCCCACUGCUAUCGAGGUGAGACUAAGCCAUGCCAGUUGAACGCCUUUGGACUAUGGCAAAGGAGUAGCACACUGCUCAGUAACACGUAGCUAACCUACCCUUGGGAUGGUGAUAACCCCGGGAAACUGGGGUCAAUAACCAAUAGAUAUGGAUGCCUGGAAUGGUUCCAUAUUGAAAUGUUUGUACACCCAUGUCGUGUACAUACACCCGAGGAUGGGGCUGCGGCCGAUCAGGCUGUUGGUGAGGUAACGGCUCACCAAACCUUUGACCGGUACGGGCCAUGAGAGUGGUAGCCCGGAGAUGGGCACUGAGACAAGGGCCCAGGCCCUACGGGGCGCAGCAGGUACGAAACCUCCACAAUUCACGCAAGUGAGAUGGGGUUACCUCGAGUGCUGCCUGAAUAAGGUGGCUUUUCCGUUGUGUAACAAGCUGUGGGAAUAAGGGGGGGGCAAGACUGGUGUCAGCCGCCGCGGUAACACCAGCCCCCCGAGUGGUGGGGAUGUUUAUUUGGCCUAAAGCGUCCGUAGCCGGCUCUGUAAAUCUCUCGUUAAAUCCAGCGUCCUAAGCGUUGGGCUGCGAGAGAGACUGCAGAGCUAGAGGGUGGGAGAGGUCAGCGGUAUUUCUGGGGUAGGGGCGAAAUCCAUUGAUCCCAGGAGGACCACCAGUGGCGAAGGCUGCUGACUUGAACACGCCUGACGGUGAGGGACGAAAGCUGGGGUAGCGAAUCGGAUUAGAUACCCGAGUAGUCCCAGCCGUAAACGAUGCAGGCUAGGUGUUGGGUUGGCCAUGUGCCGACUCAGUGCCACAGGGAAGCCAUUAAGCCUGCGCCUGGGAGUACGGUCGCAUGCUGAAACUUAAAGGAUUGGCGGGAGAGCACACAGGCGUGAGCUGCGGUAA
rnacentral:rRNA from 1 species